rnacentral:rRNA from 1 species
GGUUAAGCGACUAAGCGUACACGGUGGAUGCCCUGGCAGUCAGAGGCGAUGAAGGACGUGCUAAUCUGCGAUAAGCGUCGGUAAGGUGAUAUGAACCGUUAUAACCGGCGAUUUCCGAAUGGGGAAACCCAGUGUGAUUCGUCACACUAUCAUUAACUGAAUCCAUAGGUUAAUGAGGCGAACCGGGGGAACUGAAACAUCUAAGUACCCUGAGGAAAAGAAAUCAACCGAGAUUCCCCCAGUAGCGGCGAGCGAACGGGGAGCAGCCCAGAGCCUGAAUCAGUGUGUGUGUUAGUGGAAGCGUCUGGAAAGGCGCGCGAUACAGGGUGACAGCCCCGUACACAAAAAUGCACAUGCUGUGAGCUCGAUGAGUAGGGCGGGACACGUGGUAUCCUGUCUGAAUAUGGGGGGACCAUCCUCCAAGGCUAAAUACUCCUGACUGACCGAUAGUGAACCAGUACCGUGAGGGAAAGGCGAAAAGAACCCCGGCGAGGGGAGUGAAAAAGAACCUGAAACCGUGUACGUACAAGCAGUGGGAGCACGCUUAGGCGUGUGACUGCGUACCUUUUGUAUAAUGGGUCAGCGACUUAUAUUCUGUAGCAAGGUUAACCGAAUAGGGGAGCCGAAGGGAAACCGAGUCUUAACUGGGCGUUAAGUUGCAGGGUAUAGACCCGAAACCCGGUGAUCUAGCCAUGGGCAGGUUGAAGGUUGGGUAACACUAACUGGAGGACCGAACCGACUAAUGUUGAAAAAUUAGCGGAUGACUUGUGGCUGGGGGUGAAAGGCCAAUCAAACCGGGAGAUAGCUGGUUCUCCCCGAAAGCUAUUUAGGUAGCGCCUCGUGAAUUCAUCUCCGGGGGUAGAGCACUGUUUCGGCAAGGGGGUCAUCCCGACUUACCAACCCGAUGCAAACUGCGAAUACCGGAGAAUGUUAUCACGGGAGACACACGGCGGGUGCUAACGUCCGUCGUGAAGAGGGAAACAACCCAGACCGCCAGCUAAGGUCCCAAAGUCAUGGUUAAGUGGGAAACGAUGUGGGAAGGCCCAGACAGCCAGGAUGUUGGCUUAGAAGCAGCCAUCAUUUAAAGAAAGCGUAAUAGCUCACUGGUCGAGUCGGCCUGCGCGGAAGAUGUAACGGGGCUAAACCAUGCACCGAAGCUGCGGCAGCGACGCUUAUGCGUUGUUGGGUAGGGGAGCGUUCUGUAAGCCUGCGAAGGUGUGCUGUGAGGCAUGCUGGAGGUAUCAGAAGUGCGAAUGCUGACAUAAGUAACGAUAAAGCGGGUGAAAAGCCCGCUCGCCGGAAGACCAAGGGUUCCUGUCCAACGUUAAUCGGGGCAGGGUGAGUCGACCCCUAAGGCGAGGCCGAAAGGCGUAGUCGAUGGGAAACAGGUUAAUAUUCCUGUACUUGGUGUUACUGCGAAGGGGGGACGGAGAAGGCUAUGUUGGCCGGGCGACGGUUGUCCCGGUUUAAGCGUGUAGGCUGGUUUUCCAGGCAAAUCCGGAAAAUCAAGGCUGAGGCGUGAUGACGAGGCACUACGGUGCUGAAGCAACAAAUGCCCUGCUUCCAGGAAAAGCCUCUAAGCAUCAGGUAACAUCAAAUCGUACCCCAAACCGACACAGGUGGUCAGGUAGAGAAUACCAAGGCGCUUGAGAGAACUCGGGUGAAGGAACUAGGCAAAAUGGUGCCGUAACUUCGGGAGAAGGCACGCUGAUAUGUAGGUGAAGUCCCUCGCGGAUGGAGCUGAAAUCAGUCGAAGAUACCAGCUGGCUGCAACUGUUUAUUAAAAACACAGCACUGUGCAAACACGAAAGUGGACGUAUACGGUGUGACGCCUGCCCGGUGCCGGAAGGUUAAUUGAUGGGGUUAGCCGCAAGGCGAAGCUCUUGAUCGAAGCCCCGGUAAACGGCGGCCGUAACUAUAACGGUCCUAAGGUAGCGAAAUUCCUUGUCGGGUAAGUUCCGACCUGCACGAAUGGCGUAAUGAUGGCCAGGCUGUCUCCACCCGAGACUCAGUGAAAUUGAACUCGCUGUGAAGAUGCAGUGUACCCGCGGCAAGACGGAAAGACCCCGUGAACCUUUACUAUAGCUUGACACUGAACAUUGAGCCUUGAUGUGUAGGAUAGGUGGGAGGCUUUGAAGUGUGGACGCCAGUCUGCAUGGAGCCGACCUUGAAAUACCACCCUUUAAUGUUUGAUGUUCUAACGUUGACCCGUAAUCCGGGUUGCGGACAGUGUCUGGUGGGUAGUUUGACUGGGGCGGUCUCCUCCUAAAGAGUAACGGAGGAGCACGAAGGUUGGCUAAUCCUGGUCGGACAUCAGGAGGUUAGUGCAAUGGCAUAAGCCAGCUUGACUGCGAGCGUGACGGCGCGAGCAGGUGCGAAAGCAGGUCAUAGUGAUCCGGUGGUUCUGAAUGGAAGGGCCAUCGCUCAACGGAUAAAAGGUACUCCGGGGAUAACAGGCUGAUACCGCCCAAGAGUUCAUAUCGACGGCGGUGUUUGGCACCUCGAUGUCGGCUCAUCACAUCCUGGGGCUGAAGUAGGUCCCAAGGGUAUGGCUGUUCGCCAUUUAAAGUGGUACGCGAGCUGGGUUUAGAACGUCGUGAGACAGUUCGGUCCCUAUCUGCCGUGGGCGCUGGAGAACUGAGGGGGGCUGCUCCUAGUACGAGAGGACCGGAGUGGACGCAUCACUGGUGUUCGGGUUGUCAUGCCAAUGGCACUGCCCGGUAGCUAAAUGCGGAAGAGAUAAGUGCUGAAAGCAUCUAAGCACGAAACUUGCCCCGAGAUGAGUUCUCCCUGACUCCUUGAGAGUCCUGAAGGAACGUUGAAGACGACGACGUUGAUAGGCCGGGUGUGUAAGCGCAGCGAUGCGUUGAGCUAACCGGUACUAAUGAACCGUGAGGCUUAACCUU